GACGAACGCUGGCGGCGUGCUUAACACAUGCAAGUCGAACGGAAAGGCCCUGCUUUUGUGGGGUGCUCGAGUGGCUAACGGGUAAGUAACACGUGAGUAACCUGCCCUUGACUUUGGGAUAACUUCAGGAAACUGGGGCUAAUACCGGAUAGGAGCUCCUGCUGCAUGGUGGGGGUUGGAAAGUUUCGGCGGUUGGGGAUGGACUCGCGGCUUAUCAGCUUGUUGGUGGGGUAGUGGCUUACCAAGGCUUUGACGGGUAGCCGGCCUGAGAGGGUGACCGGCCACAUUGGGACUGAGAUACGGCCCAGACUCCUACGGGAGGCAGAAGUGGGGAAUAUUGCACAAUGGGCGGAAGCCUGAUGCAGCAACGCCGCGUGCGGGAUGACGGCCUUCGGGUUGUAAACCGCUUUCGCCUGUGACGAAGCGUGAGUGACGGUAAUGGGUAAAGAAGCACCGGCUAACUACGUG
rnacentral:rRNA from 1 species